AUUGAACGCUGGCGGCAGGCCUAACACAUGCAAGUCGAACGAGUGGCGGACGGGUGAGUAAUGUCUGGGACACUGCCUGGUGGAGGGGGAUAACUACUGGAAACGGUAGCUACUUCCGCAUACCAUCAGAUGUGCCCCGAUGGGAUUAGCUUGUGGGUAGGGUAACGGCUAACAAAGGCGACGAUCCCUAGCUGGUCUGAGAGGAUGACCAGCCACACUGGAACGGAGACACGGUCAAGACGCCUACGGGAGGCAGCAGUGGGGAAUAUUGCACAAUGGGCGCAAGCCUGAUGAAGCCAUGCCGCGUGGAUGAAGAAGGCCUUCGGGUUGGAAAGUACGUUCAGCGGGGAGGCGUUACCCGCAGAAGAAGCACCGGCUAACUCCGUGCCAGCAGCCGCGGUAAUAC
rnacentral:rRNA from 1 species